rnacentral:rRNA from 1 species
GCAGGCGCGAAACCUUUACACUGUACGCAAGUGCGAUAAGGGGACUCCGAGUGUGAAGGCAUAGAGCCUUCACUUUUGUACACCGUAAGGUGGUGUACGAAUAAGGGCUGGGCAAGACCGGUGCCAGCCGCCGCGGUAAUACCGGCAGCCCGAGUGAUGGCCGAUAUUAUUGGGCCUAAGGCGUCCGUAGCUGGCCGGACAAGUCCGUUGGGAAAUCUGUUCGCUUAACGAGCAGGCGUCCAGCGGAAACUGUUCGGCUUGGGACCGGAAGACCUGAGGGGUACGUCCGGGGUAGGAGUGAAAUCCUGUAAUCCUGGACGGACCACCGGUGGCGAAAGCGCCUCAGGAGGACGGAUCCGACAGUGAGGGACGAAAGCUAGGGUCUCGAACCGGAUUAGAUACCCGGGUAGUCCUAGCUGUAAACGAUGCCCGCUAGGUGUGGCGCAGGCUACGAGCCUGCGCUGUGCCGUAGGGAAGCCGAGAAGCGGGCCGCCUGGGAAGUACGUCUGCAAGGAUGAAACUUAAAGGAAUUGGCGGGGGAGCACUACAACCGGAGGAGCCUGCGGUUUAAUUGGAGUCAACGCCGG